AACGAACGCUGGCGGCAGGCUUAACACAUGCAAGUCGAGCGCCCCGCAAGGGGAGCGGCAGACGGGUGAGUAACGCGUGGGAACGUACCCUUUGCUACGGAAUAGCUCCGGGAAACUGGAAUUAAUACCGUAUGUGCCCUACGGGGGAAAGAUUUAUCGGCAAAGGAUCGGCCCGCGUUGGAUUAGCUAGUUGGUGGGGUAAUGGCCUACCAAGGCGACGAUCCAUAGCUGGUCUUAGAGGAUGAUCAGCCACAUUGGGACUGAGACACGGCCCAAACUCCUGCGGGAGGCAGCAGUGGGGAAGAUUGGACAAUGGGCGAAAGCCUGAUCCAGCCAUGCCGCGUGAGUGAUGAAGGCCUUAGGGUUGUAAAGCUCUUUCGCCGGAGAAGAUAAUGACGGUAUCCGGAGAAGAAGCCCCGGCUAACUUCAUGCCAGCCGCCGCAGUAAAGC
rnacentral:rRNA from 1 species